rnacentral:rRNA from 1 species
UAGAGAUAGAAAGUUACUUCGGUACAUCGGUGACAGGUGGUGCAUGGUUGUCGUCAGCUCGUGUCGUGAGAUGUUGGGUUAAGUCCCGCAACGAGCGCAACCCCUAUUGUUAGUUGCCAUCAUUCAGUUGGGCACUCUAGCGAGACUGCCGGUAAUAACCGGAGGAAGUGGGAUGACGUCAAAUCAUCAUGCCCCUUAUGACCUGGGCUACACACGUGCUACAAUGGUUGGUACAACGAGUUGCGAGUCGGUGACGGCGAGCUAAUCUCUUAAAGCCAAUCUCAGUUCGGAUUGUAGGCUGCAACUCGCCUACAUGAAGUCGGAAUCGCUAGUAAUCGCGGAUCAGCACGCCGCGGUGAAUACGUUCCCGGGUCUU